UAGAGUAUAGUGUAAUACAGGUAGCACGAAGAUUUUUGAAUUCUUAGGAGCAGGUUCAAUUCCUGUAAUUCUAG
rnacentral:tRNA from 1 species